rnacentral:lncRNA from 1 species
AGUGUUUGUGGUAGACUAAAUCUCUAUUGAGUGGUUGUGGACUUCGUAAAAGGGAAGGGGAUCAAAGGAUAGGAUGUUGGUUGUUUGGGAUUUGAAAGAGUUUGAAUCAAGGAAUUCGAAGCUUGGAGAGUUGUAGCCGAAUUAGGUAGCUUGUAUGUGCAAAUACGGCUAAGGGGUUUGGGGAGUGCAUGUAAGGAAACUUGAGAGUGUAUAGGUGCCGAAUUCUCUUUUUGGCAUUUCAUGAUUGUAGCGGGCCAAAUUUGCCUGACCCAUGCAAACACAAAACAAACCAAAAAAUAAACCAAAAAAAACCAUAAACAUAAAAUAAAUAAAAUUAUAACAGUCCAUUAAAUGUUUAAAGUCCAAUUACAUAGCCCAAACCCAAUUACAUAACCUAGACCUAUUUUUAAAACCUGACCCAAACUUACAAGGCCCGAUAGGCCUAUUGCUUUUAGAACAGACAGAACACUAGAGUUCUCUUUCUCUAGCACCGCAGCCGAGCCUUGGCCCUAGCCUCCGUACCCUCCAGUGCCGUACAGUCCUCCUGGCACCAUGCCCACACCCUGUACGCCAGCACAUGCUCCCGUACACAUGCCAGCGCGCACCCGUACCUGCAAGAAGACAAACGAAAAGAAUAGCAAAUGCAAACAAAAGGAAAACAUUGUAUUUUUAUUUAUUUCGUUAAUUCUUCCUCUCUUUUUUCGGCUGUAAAAAGCCAGAUUUUAAUCUUGUAAUCAGAGACAUUUACGAACGCAAGCAAUACCAAGCAACAAAAAAUAGAAAAAGAAGGUGAUCUCGAGUGCCUCUUCUUUUCAUUGGUGAAUCUAUUUCGUUCAUUUUCUUUUCUUGAUUUUGCAUGUGUUUAUUUACAUAAGGGGUAAGAAAGAGCAGCAUAUAAAAGAAACAGCCAUCGGACCAUACAAUUUCCGUCAGAACCGAGGUUGAAGAUUGGCUUCCAAGGCUAAAAUUUGGCUUAUUGAUGAGAGAUUUAGAACAACGAGGGGCUUACCGUUGUAGAUAUACCGUCGGAGUCCUAUAUCCUUCGUCGUAAUCAGAGUUUGGUAUGGGAUUUCGAAGUCAAAAUCAGUAACCACGAUUUGUGGUUUCAAAUGGUGUAAAAAAAGGGGGGUGUAUAUCCAUCACCAAUCACCAAAUACAAUGGUGUCAUGGUGAUGAAUGCAAGUUUUUUUUGGGAUAAAUCUGAUGAGAAUCGAAGGGGCCAAGGUUUCGGUUCCUUUGGCGGCCAAAUGAGGGAAUACAUGAGGGAUUUAGGGUUUGGUAAAGUAGAAAGAAAGAGGUGAAGAUUUGUCCAAACGGGUUGUUCUGUUGGGGGUUUUAAAGAAGUAAGAAACGACGUCGUUUAGGUCACCCCCUUUAUGCCCGAUCCGACCCGAUUCCUAGCUCCUGGGAUCCGCGCGUUUUCACGGUGAGGGGAUAUUUUCGACAUCGGUCCCUCUCUUUUCGCACCCCAGUUCAAUUAGCUCACACUUGUGUUUCUUUGUUUUAAAAUUGCCCCUUCAAUUUGCGUGCAUUUUCAUUUUAGUCUGCACCUGUACACAGCGUUUUGGAGUCUGGAAUAAUUCCAGUUUUGAUCCUUGUAUAUUUGUAUACAUUAUGCGCUGGCCCUUAUAUUGUAAUUUGGGUAACGAUGCUUUCAUAUUUUGUAUACUACCUCAUGUAAUUGUUUUUUUUAUUUACGCUAUUGUACAUAUAUAUUUUUACUUUUUAUUAAAGU